rnacentral:rRNA from 1 species
GACGAACGCUGGCGGCGUGCCUAAUACAUGCAAGUAGAACGCUGAAGGAGGGGCUUGCUUCUCUGGAUGAGUUCCGAACGGGUGAGUAACGCGUAGGUAACCUGCCUGGUAGCGGGGGAUAACUCUUGGAAACGAUAGCUAAUACCGCAUAAGAGUAGAUGUCGCAUGACAUUUGCUUGAAAGGUGCAAUUUCGUCACUACCAGAUGGCCCUGCGUUGUAUUUGCUAGUUGGUGAGGUAACGGCUCACCAAGGCGACGAUACAUAGCCGAACUGAGAGGGGGGUCAGCCACACUGGGACUGAGACACGGCCCAGACGCCCACGGGAAGCAGCAGGAGGGAAACUUCGGCAAGGGACGGAAGUCUGACCGAGAAACGCCGCGUGAGUGAAGAAGGGUUUCGGAUCGGAAAGCUCUGUUGUAAGAGAAGAACGAGUGUGAGAGUGGAAAGUUCACACAGUGACGGUAUCUUACCAGAAAGGGACGGCUAACUACGUG